UCUUCAUUCCUCGUACUCUCUCACCGGUCAGAGAGGCGAGAGAGUGUGCGAAAUGAAGAGA
rfam:Pristionchus pacificus strain PS312 contig13359, whole genome shotgun sequence.